UAAAAAAGGUUUUUUCCAUGGAAGGAGUUGGGGGAAAGGGUCAAGAGUCAACCAAUCAGGAACAUCCAAGAAUAGUCUUACUGUGUGAAUCUGCUGAAAUUUGGUUGUGUUCAUAUUGCAGGACAGGGCCCAAGUCCUCCUCCCUGCCUCCAGGGCCCAUGUCUUGAUGGAAGCCUCCAUCCAGCGGGUGGGCAGGUGAAGCUCCUGUCCAGCGCCAUCCGAGCAGUAAUGCUGCCUUGGGUUCCGAUCUUGUAUGUGGUGCUUCCCAGUUCCUCAGCUCCACGGGACCUGCUGGCCGGCAGCUGCUCUGCCCCCAGACGGGAGCACAGCAAGCUCUGGCUUCAGCCCUGCUCAGCACACUGCAUUUCUCCCGGUUGCUGAUCCACAGUAUUCACCUCGUUUUGGGGGUUGGACAGUAUGUUUUCUGGUUCUCCCUUUUCUGUAUCGCUGCUGUGUUUCAGGGUCCACCUGGGUGUCACCUAACUGGAACACUGGCUCUGCACCAGGCCUCUUCUCCCUCCUUGUUUCCCUCCGAACACCAGCACGCCUCCUCCUCGCCACCCCCGCUGCCUCGUCCCCGACCUUUCUGGACCCUUGCUGCCUUUCUCACCCAACUCUUCUCAGAGCCACUCCCGCACCCGUGGCUCAUGUGCACCCCUCAUAACCUGCGGUCACUGUCUGCCUGCUUCACUCCCAUGACUGUCUCCUACGUCUGGUCCCAUUUGGACCUUGUCACUCGGUCUCAACUCUGACCCACGCAUGCACAGCUCUGCAAUACACUCACCCAUAGGUAAUAGUAAUACCUCACAGAAGAUCAGGCAGGCAAAUCAUUUUAAGACCUACAAAAACAUGAGUAAUUUAUAAUACUGAGAUGAGCAAAGAUUUUCUGCCCACGACACCAAAUCCAGAUUUCUUAAAAAUGAAUGUUAAGACUACUGAAGUUAAACUUUUGUGUAGUAUUAAGAAAACAUGAUUUUGUAAAGACAAACUAGGAAAACAUCUACCACUCAAGACAGUCUAACUUCCCUAGAGUAGAAAGGUGGCUAUAACUCACAGAGGUCAAACAAGCUGUUGACAAAAUGGUGAGAUGGGAAUGGGCAGCACCCCCCAGAAGAGGUGCUGGUAUAAAUACCAAUAAACCCAAAUGUCGCUACAAUUAAAAAAAAAGCAAUUGUGUAAUCUAUUUUUGCUGCUCGGAGUUGCAGUUUUAAAAAUUCAUAUGGAGGGGGGUUGGCAAGCAGGUAGGUAUUUUUGCUAUCACUGAAAUGACAUGUUGGUAAAAACUUGUCAGCAGGCUACAUUAGCAAUGUGUUAAAAUGUUAAGCAUCUCCACUCUGACGCAACAACUCUACUUCCAGAAACACAUCCUGAGUAGGUCUCAGCGGGGCAGAGAGGAGAGGGGCCAGCAUUAGCCGUGGGCAACAACCCCGUGUUUCUCACUAGGAGCCAGGACGCAAAUGCUGGGGCAGCUACAUCCUGGAACGGUGCUGAUGGAGAGGGAGGCACAGCCGUGUCACGUGUCCAAGACACAGGUAACGCCCGCUGCUUCCUGAAGUGAGUGUGCCUGUGUAUACUCCCCACUGGAGCGCGUGAGCUUCCUAGUUCUACAUCUUGGCCAACACUUGGAUGCGUUACAGCAAUGUUCCUGGUAUGGUUCCUGAUACUUUUUUGAAGCCCUCAAAAUUUUCAAUAUUAUUUUAAAAAGUGUUUAAAACAGCACUGACUUUCUCUAUCAGUUUUUAUUAAGUGGAAAAGGCAGAAA